rnacentral:rRNA from 1 species
AUACGUAGGGUGCAAGCGUUAAUCGGAAUUACUGGGCGUAAAGCGUGCGCAGGCGGUUCGGAAAGAAGGAUGUGAAAUCCCAGGGCUCAACCUUGGAACUGCAUUCUUAACUACCGAACUAGAGUAUGUCAGAGGGGGGUAGAAUUCCGCGUGUAGCAGUGAAAUGCGUAGAUAUGCGGAGGAAUACCGAUGGCGAAGGCAGCCCCCUGGGAUAAUACUGACGCUCAUGCACGAAAGCGUGGGUAGCAAACAGGAUUAGAUACCCUGGUAGUCCACGCCCUAAACGAUGUCAACUAGCUGUUGGGCCCUUCGGGGCUUAGUAGCGUAGCUAACGCGUGAAGUUGACCGCCUGGGGAGUACGGUCGCAGGAUUAAAACUCAAAUGAAUUGACGGGG